rnacentral:misc_RNA from 1 species
ACCCACAAUGCUAAAGUAGGCCGCCAUUUUGGUGUUUGAUGCAUCUUGCGUACAAAGACGUCUGACCUGUCAGCAGACAAGAUGGCAGACACUUAUAACAGUUAUCAACCAGACUACAGCUUUGACAAUGGACAUUAUGACGAUGGUCAAGGAGAAAGCCAGUCUCAGGUUGGAGAUUUUGACAGUGGUGUAGACAUGAGAGGAGUGGACUAUGGUAGAGACACCAGAACAAGGGAGCUUGAUUAUAGUCGAGAUAAUGGCAGAGGCAGUGAUUAUGUUUAUGAUGGUGGUCGAGGGGGAGGUGAUCGAGGUGGAGGCUAUAGCAGAGACGGAAUGAGGGGAGAUAUCACAGACAGCAACAGAUUCAGUGAGGGUUAUGAUGAAAACAGAGGUUCCAGCAGAGACCGUGAAAGAGAAAGAGAGAGAUCAAGACGGGAUAGAGAUGGACGUCGUGAACGAAGGCAUCCAAGAGAUCGUGACCAUGAAAGAAGUCGAGAACGCAGAGAACGACGUGAAAGAGACAGAAGCCCAUCAAGUAGAUAUGAUGACAGCUACAGCUUGGAUGGCAGUGAAGGAGAUAGCCAGAGUUACCGUGACAGGGAACGUGAUGCAAGGGACUUGCGAGAGGACCGUGGCGGAGAAAAAUGGAUGACAGACACUCCCACUAACACAGUGCUGCUACGUGGAUUACCACCACAGGUUGAUGAGAAAGACAUUCGAGCUGAGUUGAUGAUGUUUGGUGCCCCUGUUAAGGAUGUGAGGCUAAUGCGUAGAAGCACAGGUGCCUCCCGUGGCUUUGCAUUUGUGGAGUUUCAGAACGUAACAGACGCCCAACGUUGGAUGGAUCAGAAACAGGGGGCGCUGAACAUGCUGAAUCAGUAUCACGUGAGCAUGCACUACAGUACGUCACGAGUUGGCCCAGAGAAGUUUGUGCAGCAUAAAACAGACUGGACCUGCAGCAAGUGUGGUGUUCAUAACUUCAAGAGAAGAGAUUACUGUUUCAAGUGCAAUAUUUCCAGAGAUGAAUCUGACAAGACAAAAGACGGAGAUGGCUUUGACCAAGUAGGAACUAAUCCAUGCAAUACUCUCAUAUUUCGAGGUCUUGAUGCACUUACAACAGAAGAGUCCCUUGACGUAGCAUUACGAUUACAAACAAAUCUCCAGUCUAAGAAUGUGCGCAUCAUUCGAGACCCAGUCACAAACACAUCCAGGGGCUACGGGUUCUGUGAGAUGAAUUCCAUUCAGGAAUCCACACAAGUUAUAGAUUUCUUGACUCAAAACAAUGUUCCUUUGGAAGUAGAUGGCAAACAAGUUCUCACAUCGUAUGCAAAGAACACUUUCUCCACUGUAAUGGCAACCUUAAACAGUACCCCUCAAAAUCCAGCAUGGGACUUCAACAGUCAACAAGUAGCGGGAGCUGGACAACCAGGUAGCGAGUACUACAACCAGCUGUACCAGGCCGGAGUCACAACAACCACACCCCCCACAACUACAGUCCCGUCGUCAGGGGAACUUGAUCAGACCUACUACGAUCAGGCAACAGGACAGUACUAUGAUACUCAGAGCUAUGAAUACUCCCAGUAUUACAGUCAGUUUGGACAGUCUGGCUCACAGUCACUGCAGACGGACUCUACAAAUGCUGCAGCAGCAGUUGCCCAGGCUGCUAUUGCUCAAGCCAAUGCUGCCAAGAACUACAACAAACAGACCCCAGGUCCUAAGAAAGCUGAGCCAGUAGUUGAACAGCCAGCCACCCCACCUGCUAGAAACAAGGAAGUCCUAGCAUAUCCGGCUCCAGAUGUGUCCACGUACCAGUUUGAUAAGAGUUCAGGAUACUAUUACGAUCCAUCAACAGGCCUCUACUAUGAUGCCAGUUCACAGUACUUCUACAACCCUCAGACCCAGCAGUUCAUGUACUGGGAUGCUGAGAAGUCCACAUAUCUCCCUGCACCCACACAAAACGACCCCAAUGGUGAUAGUGGUGAAGACAAGAAAGAUAAAAAGGACAAGAAGGAAAAGGUCAAAAUAGCCAAAAAAAUAGCUAAGGACAUGGAGAAAUGGGCCAAGUCUCUGAAUGCUCAGAAAGAGAUGAUGAAGGAGGGUACAAGGAAGAUCACCAUUAACACUGGUGGCAUCGGAGGCUUCAGGAAGGAAGAGCGAGAGUCUGCCACAGCAGAUGCAGGAUUUGCCAUCCUGGAGAAAGCUAAGGGUGAGGACAAGAAGUUAAUGCCACCACCACCUUUGCUGGGUGGUGGUGUGAAGGUGCCUAUACCUCCCCCCAGGGAGCAAGCCCGGGUUGGUGGCAUCCUAUGGUGGAGACAGUGAGGAGGAGGAUGAUGACAGUCAGGGUGCGGCAAUGUCUUCCGGUCGUCUAGACGAGACCAAGUUGGUGGACUGGGGCAAGCUAGCCUGCCUGUUGUGCAAGAGACAGUUCCAGUCAAAGGAGAUCCUGACAAAACACAUGCAGUUCUCAGACUUACAUAAGCAAAAUCUAGAAUCUCUGCAAAGAAGCAAAGGAGGAAGUGAA